UGAAUUUUCUCCUAAUAAUUUACAUUCAAAGUAACUUUCACACUGUUUGUUUACUCUCCUUUUUGUUAUCUGCGCUUGUCAGUCGGCUGAGUUCCCGGGAAUUUCAGUUGUGCAGUGGCGGGCCCCUGAUCCUUCGCUGGAGUAGCACGACUCGGGCAGCGCCCAUUUGAUGCGGAACCGAGGCCGGCUGCGUUAAUCACGUACGGGGCGGGCCCCUCCAGAGUUACCGUGGUCAGUGUGGGAACCAAUCAGAACUUCCAAGAGAACCACAGCUUCAGUUUCUCCUCUCACUACUCCCACGGAAUCACCUCGGCUAUUUACCACCCUGGACACCGAUUGCUGCUGGUGGGAGGCUGUGAGUCGGGGGAUGAUUGCACGUCCAAGGCCUCCUGCUAUGGGAUAACAGCCUGGAGGACUCUGUCUGGCUCGCCACACUACAAGCAGGUCACUAGCUACGAGGACGAUGUCA